AUGACAUGCAUUUCGAAGACCAUGAGUUCGAGGUGGACGAGGAGGGUGAGGGCAUUGUCGACGCACCGAAAGGAAGAGCGGGCAAUUACACUAACGUCGAUGACAUCUUACUAUGCAAUACUUGGUUGCAAGUGUCGAGGGAUCCAUCCGUUGGAGGUGAUCAAAGUAGAGAUGCUUAUUGGGGCGGAUGAAAGAACACUUUGA
rnacentral:rRNA from 1 species